GCCCGAUGCUGUACCAACAGUAUUUGUUCAUCGAAAAGCAGCAGCAUCAGAUAAAGGCCGCAAUGUUCGUGUUGCGAACAGAGAUAAACAAAAGUUUCUUCAUGAACUGUCAAAAGCCUCAGCAGCAAGUUCAGUAGCACCAGCACAAAGCCCUCCAUCAUCAGGUGAUUGUGACUCUGAAGAACCAGUUCAGCUGGGACAGCCAGAUCCUGUAUAUCCUGCCAAUGUGUGUCAUCGUGAGGUCCAGACAGACCCAGUACAGAUAUUUCCUGCCGAAUCAUCAAUAUAUGUCCUUGAACCAGGCACACAAAUUUUGCUGAGUAAGCAGGCCAGCUACCCUGCCGUAGAUGAUGACCACUGUUACAGUAUGAAGCGGCCUGAUGACAUUUCAGCUGACGCUGUGGUUACCUCCA